ACUUCGAGCAUAUAUUCCCGGGAUUGAGCGCGGGCCUUUACCAGCAUGUGCAGAGGGGUACAGACUCAAGCAGACAGAAAAGUACAUGCUUGCAAAAAAACGAUUGGAUGAAUGGGGCCCAUAGAUUGAUGAGAUUUUAUCUGAUGCAAAAAAUGAAAUCAGACAAAGAUUUGGAGAAAAACUUUACCAGAAAAAAGGACGCCAAGGAAGUGACUUCAAAAAAAAGUUACCACCGGAUGGUUUUCGAGCAAUUGUGAGAUGGGGACAUAAUGGGAUUCCAACCGGACAGUGGGCUAAUAACUUCAGCUCAUACCUUGGAUGUUUGAUACGGAGGAGUGAUAAUGUGAAUCCCUAUUACGAGGCUUGGGAGCAGCCAUUUCAUGUCCUGGAGAGUAUAUAUCGAGAUUGUUGGAGAUAUUUCAACAUCGAAGACAAUCCCGUAGGGUGGGAAUUUUUAUUUGGAUACCAGGGAAAGUUCAAGCAUUCUCUUCGGGAGUGGAGACAUGAGAUAAAGAAGAAAUGCUUUGAUUGUUUCACUCACAACUGGGAGAGGAUAUACAAGCGAGAUAAGAGGGUUGAGCCUGAGCACUUAGCUGCACUUAUAAUAUUGUGGGGCCAAGAGGAGCACCAGGUAAAUAUGUAUAGUAGUUAAUUAUCAUCAAGUU